CCUGUUUCCAAUCUUUAUGCUAAGCUAGGCUAACGGUUCCCACCUGUUUCCAGUCUUUAUGCUAAGCUAGGGUAGCUGUUUUCCUCUGUUUCCAGUCUUUAUGCUAAGCUAGGCUAACAGUUCUAACCUGUUUUUACUUUCUGAUAACCUAGGCUAAAGUCUAACCUGUUUUGUCUUUCUCCUAGUCUAGGCUAACAGUUCUAACCUGUUUUGUCUUUCUGCUAACCUAGGCUAACAGUUCUAACCUGUUUUGUCUUUCUGCUACCCUAGGCUAACAGUUCCCACCUGUUUCCAGUCUUUGCUAAGCUAAACUAACAGUUCCCACCUGUUUCAUCUUUCUGCUAACCCUAACCCGUUACAAUGACUUCAGCAAUCCAUGUAUAUUUAGCAUGUACUCUCGUGACAUGCAUCGACGUGCCUGUGACACACUCACCGCAUGGAUCGAGGCUAUGUUGUUGAAGGACGGGGGCCACGUGGAACAGCAGCAGCAUCAGCAGGAGCAGCAGGAGCAGCAGGCCGGUCGAAGCAUACAGCAGCUGAGGGCUCACGUCAUUGGGGUCAACGACGUGUCGUCCGAGUCCCACGUUUGGCUCCAGAGCUCCGGGGACAGUGUAUACAUCGGGCUGCUCUACCUGUCCGACGGGCAGCUGUCACAGUUGUUUGUUGUCUGUAGUAUGUUUAACUACAGAACAAACAUUUUGGGACAUGUUACAGAUAAAGCAUAUAAUGAAUUAAUGGAGAACAUAUACCUGGAAGUUUUAUAAUAAACCCCAUGACAAUUGUUAACUUCAGGCCCAAUUUGCUGCAUUACUGUGUUUUCUAAUUGUCUGAAAACAAAUACCUCUGGAUUUUGGACUGUUUUUCAGAACGACCAAACACGCGUUUAGAUAUCAUCUUGGCUUUUCAGAACUUACGUUCACAUUCUUUUUUUUUUUUUUUUUUUUUGCCAUUUUAGCUGUGCUUCGUUCCUCUUCUGUCAUCCUAGUGCACUGUGUGUUAUCUGUGAUUUUUUUGUUCCUUUUUUUCCCUUUACUGGCAUAUUAAAGGGAGAAAAAUACAAAAAUACAAAUGGACGAUUAUUAUUAUUAUUAUUAUUAUUAUUAUUAUUGUUAUUAUUAUUUUUACUAAAAAAAAAAAAAAAAGACUAAACUGAAUUGAAGUGAAAGACACUAUUUCCCCAGUUGAAUUGGCAGUCACCUGUUUGAUAAAUAAAGUGCAACUUCUUCUGUCACACUACAUGAAUUGCAUUAGCGUUAUAGUGUUUUGUCUCUACCUAACCGCUGUGUGUGGAUACAAAAAUGCCUGUUGUCAAUGCUUGAACCCUAAUACGGUGAUAAUAAUUUAAAAGAAAAAAAAUGUUUCCAUGAUUGUGCCUGUUACAGUUGUUUGUUACUAGAAAACUAGAAAUUGACCUGUCAUCAUUUGUGCAUAACACGUUGCCUGCCGCAUGCACUGAUUUAAAAAAAAAAAAAACAAAACAAAAAAAAACAAAAUUUUUUUUAACUCCAAUUGUGCCUGUUAUAUGCUUACAUGUACUUUUACUCCAAUUGUGCCUGUUAUAUGCUUACAUGUACUUUUUACUCCAGUUGUGCCUGUUAUAUGCUUACAUGUGAUGUUUAACUACACGAUCCAUUUUCAUUGUGUUCUUGCAGAAAUUGCCCUGUCAUCGUUUGUGCACGGCACGUUCAAUUUUUGUCAUUCCAAUAUGAUCUGCUUGUGUGUGUAUCACAGUUUCAAAGUUUUCAUCACGGUUUCUGCCUUCAUCGUCACUUAUGGUCAUUCUGAUAUGAUUUGCCUGUGCAUUUAUCAAAUUGUUAAUCACACUUUCAGCUUUAAGCGUGAAUUUUAGUCAAUCUGAUAUGAUUUGCCUGCGCAUGUACCAUAUUUUUCAUCAUAUUUUCUGCUUUAAUCAUGACCUCUUCAAGAGGUUAUCUUGUUAUAACCUAGAUUGAAGUCGGUGAAGAUGGCUUUAAGCAGUAUGAUGUCAUCACGGCUCUGGACAUGGACGCCAUGAUGAGUACGAUGUACGCGUGGCUGCAGAA
ensembl:lncRNA